AAGUCAGUAAGUACUUUUAACAAAAAAAUGUUUUUGAAUUAAAUAAGGUUAGCCAAACACCCUGACUAGGGGUACAAACAAGCCAAGCCGAACCCAAUCACGAAUAGCUCGCGAGUCACUCAACUUGUUUCCACCCUAGCUAACAACCAAAGCGCUUAAGCCGGUUACAUUCUCAAAUUUUGAAUUCCAUCUUCUGCCGAUCUCUUCGUUCUCUCUCUCUCUCUAACAAAUUGAUAGGUGAUUUGUAAAUCGAUAACUUGUUUUGAUUAGUGCUGUCGCCGAUUAAAAUGGUUAAAGUGGGCGUCUUCUUGUUUGCCGUUGGUGGUUCACGGUGGUUUUGGCAAAGCUCCGGCGGUGGUUUAUAAAAGUGGUGGUCACCGGAAUUUAACCUUCCGCAGAUGCCUCCCAUUUUUUAUUAUCAUUGGACCUUCUGUUUCAAGACUAUUACAGAGAAUUUGAAAAGAUUAGUGAUUUUUAAGGAGGUUGAAGGCAUGUUGUACCCUAGCUAGAGAUAAAAAAAAAGGGUAGUUGCACGGUACCCUGACCGCGGGUUCACCACCCGACAAGGAUCCCUGGCGGCAAAUACCCAUAGCCAUCAAAGAGGGGUAAGAAAUAUGUUUCGAACCCGAGACCUCGAGUGUCCUCGGUCCGACUUUAAAGCGGGUGUCGGUGGCCACCAAAGUGGCACUAAUGGGAAUUGAACUUGGGUCUCCAUUGGAGAACCCAAGUCACUCCACCACUAGGCCACUUGUGGUGGUUCUAGCUAGAGAUCAAGAGCCUCGAGAAAAGAGGAAUAAUUGUUCCUACAGUUAAGAGCCGCAGGAAAUAGAAAUAUUUCUAAGAGCUGCAUGGAUGGCUGGCAAUUUAGUGGGUUGAACGGGUCAAAAGUGACCUGUAGUGUGGGUCAGAUUCACAAAAUUGUGUUAAAAGCUGCCUUUUUUUUCUGGUCAGAUUCCUACACUGAAAUUAACAUGUGUUCUGUUGGCUGCAUAUUUGGUAUUUUUCCAUGACCUGGGCUCUGUUUCUUAAAACUGGAAACCCCAUAACUAAUAAUGUAAUCCUAACUAAUCUUUUAUCGAAUUCAAUGAAAUAUUCCUAAUGUGCUUAUGUCACUCAUAAAUUAUAAUAAUAUGUAACAAAGGUGAUGGCUAGGAUGUGGCUCAGGAUUACAAUAUGGGUCAUACACUAGCAAUCUAGCCAUUACACAUGCUGGUAUGACCAAGUAAUCUGAUUUGUUACAGGUUACUUACCGUACACACACCCUUGGUUUUAAAAUGCGCGCAUAAUGCGUGAUGCGCCCGUUGCGCUAAUGAGAGUGCAUCGCAACACCUGAUGCGUUGCGUUUACAUGAUGUGAUGAUAUUGCGACAAUUUCGCAUAAUGCGCCCGUCGCAAAAUGCGCCAUGAUGCACGCAUCAUUGUUUGUUAUGUUUUUUUCCCAGAUUUCAUGAAAUGGGUUGGGUUUUUUCAAUACUUAAUAUUUUGGCAUGCUUGAAUUGAACCAUUAUGGUUCCUAAAUACUUUUUAUGGUUCUAGAAACAUUUUAGGAUGCUUGAUUUGAACUUAAAAGCACAACUCUUUAUCUUCUUACUACGACAAUUGUUUUAGUUUUAGUAUGUUUUUAUAAGUUGUUAUGUAUAAAUAAUUUUAGUAUACUUUUAUAAAGAGUGCAUCACAUACGUGAUGCGCUCGCAUCACGCAUUAGGCAUCACGCAUCAGAUUUUUGGACCAAACGCAUCGGAGCGCAUCGCGCAAUUUAAAACCAAGCACACACCUGCAACUUUCUAUCAAAAUAAUUAUAGUUUUUGAACCACGAAAGUACCUAUUUCUCAUAAUAAUGUUGUUUCCAGUAUGAUUGAACAUGAGUACUACUGAAUUGUGAUCCAAACUUUUGGGAUAUAAAUUCAACUCUUUCGAUACAGAAGGAAGAUGGCGUAAAAAAUAGAACCGAAGAACCACACAAGGUUGAAUCAAAGUUGUCUUCAAGAUAGCAGUCCUUCGGCGCACAUUUUUUGUAGCGGCGUACAAAAAGUUGCGCAAGUUAGGCUUAAACCACAUGCUAAAAGCUUAAAACAUAUAAACCAAAAAUCUUACCUUAAUGUUCAUCAUGAUAGAGUUUUAACUGUAUAACUCCUAGUUUAUCAUUCCACACGAAAAAGGGCAAUUACAAAGCAAUGGCAGGUAGUCGGGCAACAAGUUGCGCCGCCACCCCCUUUUGAAUAGAAAAACCAAUUCUACUAAAUACAAAGUUUGAAACCUUUAGCGAC